AGUGAACGCUGGCGGCGUGCUUAACACAUGCAAGUCGAACGAGAACGGGUUAUAGCUUGCUAUAAUUGUCAGCUAAGUGGCGCGCGGGUGAGUAAUGUAUAGGUAAUAUGCCUCUUACUAAGGGAUAACAAUUGGAAACGAUUGCUAAUACCUUAUACUCCUUGUUAACAGAAGUUAAUAAGGGAAAGAUUUAUUGGUAAGAGAUUAGCCUGUAUUGUAUCAGUUAGUUGGUGGGGUAAUGGCUUACCAAGACUAUGACACAUAACUGGUUUGGGGGGAUGAUCAGUCACACUGGAACUGAGACACGGUCCAGACUCCUACGGGAGGCAGCAGUGGGGAAUAUUGCACAAUGGACGAAAGUCUGAUGCAGCAACGCCGCGUGGAGGAUGACACAUUUCGGUGCGUAAACUCCUUUUAUAUGAGAAGAUAAUGACGGUAUUAUAUGAAUAAGCACCGGCUAACUCCGUGCCAGUCGCCGCAGUAAUAC
rnacentral:rRNA from 1 species